rnacentral:misc_RNA from 1 species
GAAAUGCGAUACGUAAUGCGAAUUGCAGAAUUCAGUGAAUCAUCAAAUCUUUGAACGCAAAUUGCGCUUUCUGGAUAGGCCAGGGAGCAUGCCUCUUUGAGCAUCGUUUCUACCCCACCUCGGCAGCUUGCUGCUGGAUAAUGAGCGUCUCAUUCGAAAGUUUGAGUCGCUUUAAGUAGAGUGAGUUUCCUAGACUCCUAGUGCUAACCUUUCGAGGUGCCUGCUUCAGGUUUUCUUUCACUAGUGGUGUGGAUAAAAUUUUUCUAACACUGCUGGCGCGAGAAAGCAUUGAUCAGGUCAAAGCCUGGGCUGGAACUCGUUGGAAAUUAUCAAUGUUUGAAUUAGAUCUCAAAUGAAGCAAGAUUACCCGCUGAACUUAA